GAUGAAGAACGUAGCGAAAUGCGAUAAGUAAUGUGAGUUGCAGAAUUCAGUGAAUCAUCGAAUCUUUGAACGCACCUUGCACCCUUUGGCAUUCCGAAGGGUAUGCUCGUUUGAGUGUCAUUGUACUCUCACACUCUCCGAUCCUAUGGAUUCGGGGAGCGGUGGACUUGGGUGUUGCUGCCUUUCCUUGUGGCUCACCUCAAAUGUGUCAGUGCACCUCUUGGUUGGACAUAGUACGGCGUGAUAAGUGUCUUCGCCGGCACCUCGCGAGAGGGUGGCCGAUCGGGAGCUCUGUGCUUUCAAACCGUCUUCGGACAAUUUCUGACAACUUGACCUCAAAUCGAGUAGGACUACCCGCUGAACUUAAGCAUAUCAAUAAGCGGAGGA
rnacentral:misc_RNA from 1 species